CGUGUGCCGGCCGGGGGACGGACUGGGAACGGUUCCUUCGGGGGCCUUCCCCGGGCGUCGAACAGCCAACUCAGAACUGGUACGGACAAGGGGAAUCCGACUGUUUAAUUAAAACAAAGCAUUGCGAUGGUCCCAACGGAUGUUUACUUAAACGUUCGGAGUAACUAUGACUCUUUUAAGGUAGCCAAAUGCCUCUUCAUCUAAUUAGUGAUUCGUAUGAAUGUAUUAAUAAGAUUCCCACUGUCUCUGUCUAAUAUACAGCGAAACCACAGCCAAGGGAACAUGUUUGGCAGAUCAGCGGGGAAAGAAGACCCUUUUAAGCUUGAAUCUAGUCCGACUUUAUGAAAUGACUUGAGAGGUGUAGUAUAAGUGGGAGUCGAAAGGCGAAAGUGAAAUACCACUACUUUUUAAACAUUAUUUUACUUAUUCCGUGAAUCGGAAGAGGGGGACUACCUUCUUUUUGGACCCAAGGAUCGCUUUGCGGGUCGAUCCGGGGGAAGACAUUGUCAAGUGGGGAGUUUGGCUGGGGUGGCACAUCUGUUAAAAGAUAACGCAGGUUUCCUAAGAUGAGCUCAACGAAAAUAGAAAAAUCGUGUGGAUUAGAAGGACAAAAGCUCGUUUGAUUCUGAUUUCCAGUACUAACACGAACCGUGAAUGCGUGGCCUAACGAUCUUUUAGACCUUCAGAGUUCUAAGCUGGAGGUGUCAGAAAAGUUACCACAAGAAUAACUAGCUUGUGUUAGCCAAGCUAUAUAGCGAAAUUUAUUUUUGAUCCUUCGAUGUCGGCUCUUCCUAUCAUUGUGAAGCAAAAUUCACCAAGUGUUGGAUUGUUCACCCACAAAUAGGGAACGUGAGCUGAGUUUAGACCAUCGUGAGAGAGGUUAGUUUUACCUUACUGAUGACAGUGUCGCAAUAGUAAUUAGACCUAGUAAGAGAGGAACCGUUAAUUCACAUAAUUUGUCAUCCCGCUUGGUUGAAAAGCCAGUGGCACGAAGCUAUCGUGUGCUCGAUUAUGACUGAACGUCUCUAAGUCAGAAUCCAGGCAAGAAGCGACGCAUGCGCCCGCUGUCCGCUUGCCGACCCGCAGUAGGGGCCUUUAGCACCCAAGGGAUCGUUUUGUUGGCUAAGUCACCGCGAUGGAAGCGUCGCGGUGACUUCGUUGAAGUACAAUUUCCAUCGAACGGUGGGUAGUAUCCUUUGCAGAAGACAUUAAUACACGACGGGGUAUUGUAAGUGGAAGAGUAGCCUUGCUGCCACGAUCCACUGAGAUACAACCCUUUGUCACUUCGAUUCGUCCUCCCCACCUUCCCCCUCCCCUAACCUCAAAUCCAAUUAUUUCUAACAUUUCAAAUGAGAGGUUUAUGUCAGGCUUGCAUACUUGGAAGGAAAAAACCCACUAACUGUUGAAAUAUAAGUUCCGAGAAUAACAUGGUCCAUGAAAUUUACUACUCUACUGCUAUGUGUUGAACUAUACGUUCUAUGCUGAUCAAACACUUGUUCAAUAGCGAUGACGUAUUGCGAGGUUUUUCGUGACGAUGGGUUUAUUUUUCAUGUCUAAUGACAUGUUAAGGGACUAAUAAAUAUGUCGCUAUAAGAGGUUUUUCGCGAUGUCAGGGGCGAUUCUAAAUCCAAGUAAGAUGUCAAGGGCAAUAUAUGUCUAUGUAGGCAGCACGGGCAUUCCAUGUCUGGGGACAGGCGAGAUCAGCCAAAUUCUGCACGCAUCGGACAGGCGACGUAGGCCAACGACAUACGACAUCAGUCCAUGCCAACACGCAUAGGAAGCGGCAUGUGCGUAUCGGUCAAGCAACGUCGGCGAAACGGCAGAUAGCAAUCAGCGAAGGCCUGCAUGCAUCAGAUGUGUCAUGUGUGCAUCAUGCAAGAAACGUCGGUCAACGGCAAAACCUUGGGCAUGACCCUGGGCGGAGCAGCUGUUAGUGCAGAUUUUGGUGGUAGUAGCAAAUAUUCAAAUGAGAACUUUGAAGGGUGAAAAGGGGAAAGGUUCAAUGUGAAUGGCACUAGCACAUGGGUUAGUCGAUCCUAUGGGUCGAGGGAACCCAAACAGAUAAUGCAUUUCGCGCGUACCCCGGAAGGGAAUCGGGUUAAGAUUCCUGAAUCGGGACGUGAAGGUUCACGACAAUGUUAGAAAGUCGGCAGAUGUCGGUGGGAGCCUCGGAAAGAGUUGUCUUUUCUGUUUAACAGCAUGCCCACCAUGGAAUCGGCUCUGCCGGAGGUAGGGUCCAACGGCUGGAAGAGCACCACACGUCGCGUGGUGUCCGGUGCACUCCCGGCGACCCUUUAAAAUCCAGAGGACCGAAUGUUGUCCACGCUUGGUCGUACUCAUAACCGCAUCAGGUCUCCAAAGUGAACAACCUCUAGUUGAUGGAACAAUGUAGGCAAGGAAAGUCGGCAAAAUGGAUCCGUAACUUCGGGAAAAGAAUUGGCUUUGAGGGUUUGGCAUGGGGGUCCCAGUCCCGAACCCACUGGCUGUCGGUGGACUGCUU
rnacentral:ncRNA from 1 species